ACCCAGGGAUGGAAAAGACUCACUGUGCAGAUGGGAAAAUGGAGGCCCACAGAGGCCCAGCUCAUCAGAGGCAGAGCUGCGACCGGAUCUGGAGCCCUCUGACCCUGUGGAAGUGGCUGUGUUCUUCUCUCUCUUCUAAAUGGCCCAGUGGGGGAGUCCAAACCCAAGCCCAGAUGCACCAUCCUCGGGAGGUGAGGAAGAUGAGAGACCACAGUGAAGCUACAUUUCAGGCACACAGGCCGGCUGGGGUGGGGCCUGCCUUCCACCCACCCAGCCCUGCCCCCAAGAGGCCAAGAAGGGACUGAAGACUGGGGGACAACCUUCCUGGAGUCACACCAAGGGUGAGGAUAUAACCUGAAGUUUGCAGUCGGCAAUUCAGAAGAGCUCUCACCAAAGGCUGACAAUACUGGCAUCUUGAUAUUCAACUUCCAGACUCUGCAACUAUAAGAAAUAAAAUUUCAUUGCUUA